rnacentral:tmRNA from 1 species
GUUCAACUUAUAUUUGUUAAUUUUUUUAGGUUGAAUAAGAUAUUCAAAUUAACUAAAUAUGUAGAAAGGUUUAAAAUUUCUUUUUCGGACGCGGGUUCGACUCCCGCCGCUUCCACCA